UGGUGUUGCAGUAGUAAUCCUGCUCAGUACGAGAGGAACCACAAGUUCAGACAUUUGGUGCGUGUGCUUGGCUGAGGAGCCACUGGAGCGAGGCUACCAUCUGUGGGCUUAUGACUGAAUGCUUCUAACUCAGAAUACCCCCUAACAUAAUGAUACUGCAGCGCCAAGGAGCCUUGGUGGGCUUGCAAUAGCCGGCCUCUCCGGCAGCUGGUGUGGAGUGCUGCUCAUGGUCUGGACUGGAGUGCAGAUGGAUGUGGCACUACCUCUCCCCUGCCAUAUACCACAUGUUCGUGGGGAACCCAAUGCUAAAUCAUCCACAGAUAACCUGAUUCUGGGUCAGGGUUUUAUAUAUAGCAGAGCAGCUCCCUUGCUGCAAUCUAUUGAGAGUCAGCCCUCGACAAUAAUUUUU
rnacentral:ncRNA from 1 species